AGGAUUUGUCUUAUUGCGUUGCUGCCGAAGUAGCUCUGCUCGAUUGCCUGGGCGCUUUCCGACGUGAAAAACGGAUCCAUCGAAUCUCCACCGGGGACAAAAACAACAUUGCAAUCACGGAACCAUAAAGCCACUCCUCACCUUCCCCAAGCCGCGCCUGGUUCAGCAGUCGCAGUCAAAACGCGAUGGCCAAAGCUGACUCAAUCCAGAAUGGAAUCAAAACAGACACAACAGACGAUGUUGAAAAAUCACUGGAACUCCUGGACAAAGUGCUGUCCGAGUUUGAAGAAGAGCAGGAGGUAAUACACGCCCCCGUGGAGCCGGAUAGUCCCUCCCAGGGCCACCAAUCCGAGGACGAUGGUUACAUGAGCAUGAAUGGCCGGAGGGCAAAAUUCGUACCUGAUUUUCAACCGACUGACGAGGCAAAUGCACCCUCACUUCCACAUCCGGUUCCUCCGGACGGCAAGUACUCACCCCCAUCACCCGAGGAAGCAGAACGAAUUAUUUCCAAUUUGCUACCAAGGAUAUCCCCGAACACGUCACCCAGCCGAAGGACCAACAGCACCACAAGUAGCAGUAGCACCAAUCGCAGCCCAGUUCAUCACAGCAGCAACAUAAGCCACAGUCAAAGUCACAGCGAGUGGCGAACGAGAAAUCUGGUGAGAAACUCCGACUCAAUUAGCAGUUCGACGACGAGCGACAAACCCUCCUCCAAUGACAAUACGGUCAUUGCCAAGAGUCCUACCCAGACGACACUGCCAAAAACUCGUCCCUCCAAUGUUUUACCCACACGAUACGCAAGUCUUCCAUGCUCCAGCCCGCCCAAGCAAACCGGCCCAAGUGAACCGAGUGGAGGCAGUUUGGACGACGGUCGGAACAAACUCGGCGGAAUAGGAAUCAGCGCGGUGCACGAUGCCGUCCUAAGGGGGAUGACGCGGCUGCCAGAACCAAUAGUCAACGAGCAUCCCGUCACCAUUUACCCCGGUAGAGCGUCUCCACCUCGGCGGGCGUCCCGAAAUUUACAGAGCUCCAUCGAACGGCACAGGGACCUCUAUCGGAAAGGUGCCUACAACUCGGACAACUCGUCAUCACAGGAAAAUUCGUCACCGGAAAAUAACGAAUUCGAAAACAACUCGUCCCUGUCCCCCUCCCACGGCGUCCAACUGAACAUCAACUACAACAAUAAUCUAAUCAGCAAUCGGAUAUUUGCUGCCAGUGCAGAAUACACGCGACAGAGGACGGCACACGACGAUAGCGACGAGGAGCGGUUCUCCGAUGAUUCGCUAGAGGAAUCUUCGCUGCCACCGCCUCCCGGACCACCAACGGUUCCUCCUCCUCCGUCGUUAUCAGCCCCGGUGACUCCCAGCAAACGGCACAGCAUUGCGUGGGAAGUCAACCUGGACGAUCCGGCUAGUUUCGAAGAUCCUCUGGCGAUACCCAAGGGCAACAGUUCGGCGUGCAGUAAGGUUAUUGGCAGGCGAAAAGGCACUAAGAACGUCAACGAUUCACAGUCAAGUUUGGAGUCCACACCCAGCAAUAGGAAAAGUGAAUCCAAUAAUGAAUGGCCCGAUCCGCCCGAUAUUCCCAUAUGCAGCACCGAGGACGAAGCCGCUUCCCUGUACUCCGAUUCCGACGAUGUCAUACCACAAGUACCGGACAUUUCCGGCCGCGGCACGUACGUCAUACGGAAGGGUCGGCGGAGACAGCGAUUGGAAAGUUUGGACUCGAACGCCAGCAACAACCUUCCGAUUCCGGGCAGCAGCGAUCUUCCGCCACCGGCCUUACCGAGUCCCAUCUUCCCCGCGUCCAUGAUGAUGCCCAAGUCGCGGCACAGCAUUGAUUUGGGUCUCACGUCCUCAGGCUGCAGUGCCGUACUCAAAACCUCACACUCCGCCCCUCAGAAACUACCCAACUCAGUUCUCUCGCCCAGGUCACGACUAUCAUUAGAUUUAAGUUCACCUACCUCAGAGCUUUCGACAAACGUAAAGAAAAUCACAACCCCAACCGGAAGCUUCCCGGCGCACCUCCAGCAGCAGCAACAAUCCUCACAAUUCCACAACGGCAGCAACAAUAAUAACAAUAAUAGCCUGAGCAAAUCGAAAUCCAACAGCAACAAUAAUCUCAGCACGGCCUGUGUUAACAACAAUAACAGCAUUACCGUUCUUGGAAACUCCGCUGGUCCCGUCCUGAUCGGAAAUGGCGCCCAACAGCCGAUAGUUUCCUCGCGCUACACCGAGUUCAAAACGUACAGCUCGACCUUCGAUGCCCUGCAGGCGCUGGAAAGUGCCAACAACAAUAGCAUGACACGCGGAGGCGCCACCGGAAAUGGCACGGCCACCGUUGUGCCCGUUGUCCCCGAUAACGACAGUUCGCUAAUACGGGUUUCCGCGCUACCGGCUGUCACACCACCUCAACACCCCGGCCAGGCAACAGCCGAAGGCCUUUCCACGCCGCGCCGUGAACUCGCACCUCCGAUCGAAGAGGACGAGGAAGUGGACAGUGACACUCAGCGGGGUGCCCCGCUACGCAAAAUAGAGGAUAAUAUUAGUGCUUUAUUACGUGGUGAUAUAUCUGUUGCUAGAGUAGCCGACAUACCUCCCGCGAGACGUCCAUUAGGUUUUCGUCUAGGUGUUCAUAAAUCAGAAAGUGCCAAAGAAAUGCUUUUAUCGCAAGCUGGAUUGGGGCCUUUGCCACCGUCACCGCCGUCAUCUAGUCCUGAACCGGACAGUGACGAAUUUCCUCCGCUGCCUCCCUCGCCUACCGAGGAACCUGAAGUUGUCCACCAGCUGCACGGCAUACGCAUCAGCUCACGCAAUCGGUCCAACAGUACCAAACACGAAGGUCACUUCCGGGACGAGCAACCACCGGCCGUCCCGCCUCACCGUGGCCCAUCGAUCAAUACGCUUAAAACAAGAUCAAUGGAUGCCGGCUUUAGUAAAUCAUACCGAAACGGUUCGCAUGCUUCCACAUCACCUCACGCCCCCGGAACGCUUCCUCCCGAUUUGCCCGGCUGCAACUCCCGACGAAGGGUCAUCACCGGCGGCUACCAGAAGCGAACCGCUCAAAGUCCACGCGAGGAGAGAUCCCUGCAGACGUCAUGCAGUUUGCCGGAAACGCCCAUCUUUGCACGAGGCAGCUGUGAUAUUCCACGAACGCCUCACCGACGUGCACCGGAAAUACCGCCUCAUGGCAGUGGAAGCCGAACAGCGCCCCGCACCAACACCAACACGACCAGCAGCCUUGGCUCGUCGGUGGUUGGCAUCGGUACCUCAACCAUCGGUGGCCGUCAGCGGAGCAUCAGCCAAGCUUUCGCCAACGGUGAAAUGCUACGCUUAGCGGGUGGUCCAGCCCGUGGCUGGUAUCCGAAGCAGCGGCAACCUCGGCCGGCGUCGACCGAGCAUCUGGACCGGCUGCAUCCGCAGGGAUCCCUGCGCGCCUGGGAAGCGGGUACGGGUAGCAGAAAACCGCUUACCCUACCACCUAAUCUCACACCUAAAUUUUUCAACAAGUCACCGCGAGAGGCGUUACGUCGUGUUACUAGUUUGUUAAUUCGAAAAGGAAAUUCCGGCACCAAGGAUAAGGAAUCGCGCAAGGACAAAGACCGAGGCGAUAAAGAGGCGUACUCUUCGUCGUCCAAUUUUUUGCAGCGUUCGCCCGGAUCCGAUGUAACCGACUCUCGAGGCUAUCACCACCCCCUUCAUUACCAACAGCAGCAGCAGCAACAACAGCACCAUCAUCAGCCCCAGCAUCACCAGUCUUCAUCAUCGCAGCACACCACGCCUACUACACAGAAAAAGAAGGGUUUCUUCAAAAGUUUUUGGAAAAAGUCACGUCACUAUUCGCUAGAAAAGCAGUAAGCCAUGCCCCAGGUCAGGUCAGGUCUCGCACACCCAGUUGGAAACUUUUGCUAGGCUAGUUGUAGAACGACACAGAUAUUUAUACACAAUUUUAUUUGCGGGUGGAAGUACUUUAACCACAAGAUAACUCUAACAAACAGCAAUCUCUUAUCUAUAUUGGCCUAACCGAAAACAGAAGUAAAAUAUACAGUCAGUGGGAGGAGAAAACGAAAAACCGAAACGAGUAACAUAGUGAACUGUAAGAAAAACAGUGCGUAACAUUUUAACGGAUGCAACACAUCAAGAUUAUUAUCACUAAUCAUAUUACACGAGAGCAGCGCGCGAGAAUAGCAACCAAAGAUUCAACACAUUUUGUCACUUUCGCGUCCUCUGAGGGUAUACGCAGAUAGAGGCGCACGCACGAUGUUGAUCACACAAAUAAUAAUUCAGAGAGAGCAAAGGGCACAAUGUCAGUCGAUUAUAAGUUUUGCGUUCGAUUCGUGUGAAGUAAAAAUUCAACCUCUCCCUUAAAUUGAACCUCCUCGCCUGCUGUGAGUAGCAUUCCGAUACACCUUAAUAUCAUAGCAACCAGCCUAUUAAAUAACGAUAUUUGAGGACGAAUUAAAAAAAACAAAGGAAACCAUGAAAAUGUUAACAGAAUCACUUAUACAAACAUACAAACAAACAACACAUUUGCAGAAACGUUACUGAUUUAAGUCGAAAGCGUUGAAUUUAAUUAUGGUACCAUUUAUUAAUCGAUUUUAGGAAUGUAAGCAAAGUCAAGAGUUGUAGAGAGCAGGUCGUAACCACCCAGGAGUAGAGUAGAAGAAAUUUGCUUAAAGUAUGUAACAGAACCACAGCAAAAAAAAACAGUAAAAAGUAAUUGGCUUGCUGAAAAGCAAAACUGUUGUUAGAACGAGAGUGACGUUGUCUUUGUAGAUUGAGUCAUUGUGUAUAGAAGUGAUUUGUGUACAGAUGUUGGUUAUCUUAGUUUGUGUUUCCUGUAAUCGACUAUAGAUUAUAUACAUAUAUGAGCAGAUAUUAUUAUCAUUUUUUUUGUACAUUUUUUAUUUAUAGUGCACUAGGUAACCUGUUAAGUUUGAUUAUUUUUUAUUUACGGUGUAUUUCUUUUUCUUGUGAAAUAACUUAUACUUUCUUGUGCCUGUGGGAGUGGCGCCCAGGCCCCAAUUUUAACAGCUACUGGAACUAAUCUCAGUUUAACCAAAUGCAAAAACAAGCAACACACAAAAUGUAUCUCCAAGUUUUCCUAUAUUUACGGAACGCAUUAGCCCGAAUAAACUCAUUUUAAUCAACUUUAA